AACAAUUAUUUCCAGAAUUAAUUGUUAAAUCAUGUACACAAAAAUAAUAAUAAAAAAAUCUUACCUCCAUUCCCUGGUGACUCGCCGCUUCGUGUCGUCGUUUGCUUCUCUAAACAAAGCCAUGAAGGUUGCGGUGGUGGGAAGUGGAAUAUCUGGAGCUGUUUGUGCCUCGGUUCUAGCUAAAAAUGGCGUCGCCGUUACUCUCUUCGACUCGGCUCGAGGUCCUGGUGGCCGCAUGUCUCAGAGAAGAGAAAUUUCUGAAGAUGGGAAGGAACUGUUGUUUGACCAUGGUGCUCCAUAUUUUACUGUUAGCAAUCCUGAUGUGUUGGAACUUGUUCAUGAAUGGGAAUCAGGAGGCCUUGUUGCUGAAUGGAAAGUGAAUUUCAGUUCUUUUGAUUGUGUCUCCAGCAAAUUUGUUGAUAUACAACAGGAUGGAAUAAGCAAGAAAUAUGUGGGUGUGCCAGGCAUGAACUCAAUUAUUAAAGCCUUAUGCCGUCAACCUGGAGUGGAAAGUAAGUUUGCUUGUGGUGUUGGGAAAUUAAAUUGGUUGGAUGAGAAGAAUUUAUGGUCAGUGAUGGGGUUGGGUGGACAAAGUCUUGGUAAUUUUGAGGGAGUGGUUGCAUCAGACAAAAAUGUGAUUUCACCAAGGUUUAGACAAGUAACAGGAAAACCACCUCCUCUUGAUUUGACUUUUGCCCCAGAGUUGGCUGCAAAGUUAGAAGAUAUUCCUGUCAAUCCUUGUUUUGCUCUAUUGCUGGCAUUUGCAGAGCCUUUGUCUUUGAUUCCAGUAAAAGGCUUCUCAUUCCAAAAUUCCAGAGUUUUGAGCUGGGCUCACUGUGACAGCAGCAAGCCUGGGCGUUCUACUGCAAGUGAACGAUGGGUGUUACAUUCCACGGCUGAAUAUGCUAAAAGUGUAAUUGCUCAAACUGGACUUCAAAAGCCUUCAGAUGAAACAUUGUGUAAAGUGGCUGAAGAAAUGUUCCAAGAAUUUCACAGCAUAGGUCUCACUACUUCGUUGCCAGUUUUCAGAAAAGCUCAUAGAUGGGGAAGUGCCUUUCCAGCUACAAGCAUAGCCAGAGAGGAGAAAUGUCUCUGGGAUAAAAACAAGAGACUAGCCAUCUGUGGAGAUUUCUGCGUUAGUCCAAACGUUGAAGGUGCAAUUCUUAGCGGGUUGGCUGCAGCCUCAAAACUUACAGAAAUCCUCAGUUGCUUAUAGUGUGAUAGUUUCAUCUAUCAUUUAACCAGAAUUUUUACGCAUCAUAUGAAACACCUCUUCGGAUUAGGUGCAGCCCUUACAAUUCUGAAUAUGGAUGCCGUGGCGGAUUUCUAUUGGCUGCAAAACAACCGGUAUAAAAGAGAUUAGAUUCUGAUAAUGUUUGUGAGGCAAUCAUAUCAUAUCCCGCUGCAAACCACAUAGCAAGGCCACGUGUCAGCAUGACAAUCACUACCCUCUUUCCCUCACUAUAAUUAUCUAAACAUUGUGUAACCAAACCACAGAGUCUUUUAAAGCAAGAAGAGAAGCCCACAGGGAGCUCAAAUUCAAGUAGAGCAAUGGCAGCCUCAGUCAUGGCUUCUUCCUUGAACCUCAAACCAGCCCCUUUCGUCGUCGAGAAA